rnacentral:rRNA from 1 species
GCCAGACUCCUACGGGAGGCAGCAGUGGGGGAUAUUGCACGAUGGGGGAAACCCUGAUGCAGCGACGCCGCGUGAGUGAAGAAGUAUUUCGGUAUGUAAAGCUCUAUCAGCAGGGAAGAAAAAAGACGGUACCUGACUAAGAAGCCCCGGCUAACUACGUGCCAGCAGCCGCGGUAAUACGUAGGGGGCAAGCGUUAUCCGGAUUUACUGGGUGUAAAGGGAGCGUAGACGGCAAUACAAGUCGGAAGUGAAAUACCCGGGCUCAACCUGGGAAUUGCUUUGGAAACUGUAUGGCUGGAGUGCUGGAGAGGUAAGCGGAAUUCCUAGUGUAGCGGUGAAAUGCGUAGAUAUUAGGAGGAACACCAGUGGCGAAGGCGGCUUACUGGACGGCAACUGACGCUGAGGCUCGAAAGCGUGGGGAGCAAACAGGAUUAGAUACCCCGGUAAA